UACGUAGGGACCAAGCGUUGUCCGGAAUUAUUGGGCGUAAAGAGCUCGUAGGCGGUCUGUCGCGUCGGAUGUGAAAGCCCGGGGCUUAACCCCGGGUCUGCAUUCGAUACGGGCAGACUAGAGUGUGGUAGGGGAGAUCGGAAUUCCUGGUGUAGCGGUGAAAUGCGCAGAUAUCAGGAGGAACACCGAUGGCGAAGGCAGGUCUCUGGGCAUUAACUGACGCUGAGGAGCGAAAGCAUGGGGAGCGAACAGG
rnacentral:rRNA from 1 species